GCCAGCAGCCAUAUCACUGCAACUCCCAACUGGUAACCCACUGAAGCUAAGAGGUGUGAGCCUGUCAGUACCGGGAUGGGAGACCUCCUGGGAAAAACUAAGGUUGGUGCUGGAA
ensembl:rRNA 5S_rRNA 5S ribosomal RNA